rnacentral:lncRNA from 1 species
UUUUUUCUUUUUCUUUUUUUUUUUUUGCUGUGAUUGAAGGUGAGGGAAACCUGCUAUUUACUGGGUUACUUCUGUGUGCCUGAUAACAUGAUAAAUUAUUUAAGAUAUUUCCUUUGAUCCAGACUCUUACGCAACCCUGUGAGGUUCGUACUGCUAUCCCUGGUUUGCAGACGAGGAAGCGUGGGCUCGGGACGGUCACGUGGAAGUGUACUGUGGCAGAGUGGUUCAGAGUGCAGGUUCUGGUUGAGUGGUGCAAGUUUGCCACACCUCGGUUUCCUCGCCUGUGGAGUGGGUGUUAGCACCUGUGGGAACUGAAUGAGAUGACGCCUGUAAAGUGCCCAGCACAGAGAUUGGUCCAUUUUGAGCACUCCAAAUAUUAGCUCACUUUUCUUUUCUGGUUUCAGCGGUCUGAUUUGUAACUAAGACCCUGUUUUAAGCAGCUAGACUUUUUCAUUAGGUUUUGAUUUUGAAUGACUGGAACGAAGAUGAGAGGGUGAUAAAAAAAAGUUCUUUUUUUUUUUUUGACCUAAUUCUAAAGCACUUGAUAUUUCCCUGUAAUCACUUCUGCCAUCAGCGGGACCUGGCACAUCCGUAUGGCACUCUGGGAGCACCCCCUUCACCGUGUGCUUUGCCGUGACUCAGCCGUGCUCUUUAAACUCGGCCCCAGAAUCUGGAGGCCAUCAUAUUGGGUCAUUAAGGAUCAGUCUAUGGACCAAAUGGCACUCAGCAGUGGUUAUCUAUUUUAAAAUGUUGUUUUUCUCUUCUACCAAAUGAUUGCUAAGAUAUCUAGAAAACAUUUUUGUCGGCUUUUCUUUGGGCUUAGCAUUAAAAAACAAUUCUAAAGCUUCUAGUUCAGAGUGUCAGGAAAUCUGGAAAGUAUGGGUUAUCUCGUGACCUAGGACCAUCGCCCAUCGUCCUGAAUGUGUAGAGUCUCUUUCAGGGGUAGAUGGGAGCAGAGGGGAGCUCACAUAGGUGGCCUAGUGAACAAACUUCAGUCUAGGUCCCUUCGAUGGAUAGUAUGAUUUCAUGUGAAGGUAGUUUGUAGUACGGUACACUUGCAAAUAAAAAAGAAAUAAAGUCACUAAAAAGCAGUGUUUGCUUCUUGCUUUCUGGUAUAGACAGGCAAUUACAGCAGCAAAGAUAGAGGCCAAUUUAUCUGACAUACAGAGGAACGUACACAUUCACAAAGACAGAGCUUAUUUGAAGGCAAAGGCAGUUUUAGCAAUUUCAUCUCAAUACUGGACAUGCAGGAAUUACACGUUAAGAAGAAUAACCACAUUCAAAAUACCACAGGAAUAAUAAAAAUAGCUUGCGUGCAUACCUAUUCCUGACAUAUUAAAAACAUCAAUCACAUCACGUCACUGACAGUGUUUUUGCAGUCGGGGCUGCUGAAGGCUUUUCUGGAUGUCCCCAGUUUCCUUGUCAGGAGCAUGGAAGGAGAAAGAAAACUCAGUAAAGCCUUCCUGGGAAGGUAGGAGGGGGCCCAAAGGUUCGGAUUUCCUGACCCCCCACCCCCCACCGUCCAGGAGGAGGAUGCAAACCAUGUCAGUGCUGCUCAGAAGAACAGAGAGGGGUGACGGGUGGUGUGAGUGCCCGUGUAGGACGGGCUUUCAAUCUCCCACGAUAGUGAUUGAUGUACUAUUUGUAGAAACCCACUGUUGUUCCCUGGUGAGUGACAGCCAGGGAGUGAUGGACAGAUUACGGAGUAAGUAUACUAGGAAAGACGCCACACGCGUUAAACUAUCACCGAACAUGUUGUCAGAGUCAAGCCCGUACUCUGUUCUUUCUUGCUGACAUGAUUCUCAGGCUGUUGGAAGGUGGAAUGGAGAUAUUUAUUUAUUUUUUUAUUCCUGGAGAAAUGGCUUCCAAAUCAUUCUGGAGAGUCGGAUUGUCUGCUUUGGGCUUGCCAUGGGAUAGGGUGAGUAUGGAGGCCGCUCACAGCAUUUGGUUGUGUUGGCCGGGCUGGUGGAUUCUCUCCUCCUCCAAACCGAUGGGAAAGCAGCCUCCAUUAGCUGGUUGCUCUUAUUAGGAACCGUUUUCUUCCAUUCAGCUGUGCCGUGGCCCGCUCCUGUCUGAGGCCACACCACUAGCAGAAGCUGGGGGGUGGAAGGGGGCAGGAAUGAGGCCUGGCUCUGCAUCAUCCACCGGGGGGAUGGAUGCCUCUGCUGACUAUUUCCUUCAGAAUUGGUUCCCACUUUCUCAUUUUGUGAAAACUAAGGUGUGCCUUUCUAUUGUUUAAAGGUGGGCAUUGCGGACUUCUCAAGAGAAGCCAUUUAAAAAAUUUCAACGUAGGUAUAUGUUUCCAUAAACCUUAGAGAACACUGUUUUGAAAGACGGGUGAACGAGAUGGCUAAAGGACAUGAACUCUGAUGAGCUAGAUUUUUAGAAUGUGAGACUUCCUGCUCACAGGUGCCCUGUCUCCUAUCUUGACGUUACCCGAGGACCUCUGGAGCUCAGCGGACUUGGCAUUCCUGAAGGCCGCCUCUGACAUUAGGCUUCGCCGCUGACACAGUCUGUCACUUCAAUGCCUUGCUUUGGCGCUUCUCCAGCAAUGAGGGUUGACUUCAUUGAUCCUGGAGGCAGUUAAGGAGGCCCUUGAAAUCCCAAAUCCUCUGGAAACCCAUUUCCACGUUGACCCAACAGCCCAGAACCAUGUUGCUGAUGGCAAACCAGAUUUUGUAUCUGCUCCAUUGGACCAGAAAUACUCUGUUUGAGGUUGAGGAGGGAUGGGUUUCCCCGGCUGCAAAGACCGCCCCCAGCAGCAGCCACAUGCAGCAUGGUUGAGGAUGUUGUCACCUCUCAGCCCACAGGCCCUUUAGAGUGAGGAGAAUGCAAAAGAAGGUCAUGUGAAGGUGCAGAGGAAAGGAAAAAUGAACCGUCUGUGGUUAGUUGCCUCCCAGAGCAAGCCUGUGGUAAAUACUAUAGUGCCUAGCCACCUGGGAGUUUGGAAGAUUCAGGAGACUAUUUUAAGCUGCUAAAAAGCAUUUCAGCUGAAGCCAAACAAAGUGAGUCUUUAUCCAAUCUGAGUCUUUGCUCCAGAAGUAUCUGGAUUGCAGAUGGGCAGCACAGCUCUCUUCCCCAUCGCAUACUGGCAGGUACUUAAAAAGCACACAAAAGGAGUUGAUGUAGAUAUCCUGAACCAUGGAAAUGCAUUGUAGCGGGAUGAUGGACAAGGGGAAGACUUCUUUUAUGGUGGAGAGCCUCUUUGUGGAGGUGUGCUCAUGCCUGAGGAAGAGAACUGCAGUUCAUUUUCUUGGUGGCCAAGCAUCUCCACUUCCCCCAAAGUGUUCAACCUCAGAUUUCUAUUAAGAAUCAUGGAGGCACAAAGCUAUACUAAUCAAAAUAAUAUGGUAUUGGCAUAAAAACAGACCAAUAGAUCAGUGGAGCAGCAUAGAGCACCCACAGAUAAACCCACAUAUACAUGGUCAGCUAUGACAAAAGAGCCGAGAACAGACAAUGGGGAAAGGACAGUCUCUUCAAUACACGGUGUUGAGAAAACUGGACAGCCACAUGCAAAAAAAAUUGGACCUCUUACACCACAGACAAAAAUCAACUCAAAAUGGAUUAGAGACCUAAAAGUAAGACCAGAAACCAUAAAACUCCUAGAAGAAAACAUAGUAAGCUCCUUGACAUUGGUCUUGGCAAUGAUUUUUUUAAAAAAGAUUUUUAUUUAUUUAUUUGGAGAGGGAGAAAGAGAGAGAGUGAAUACAAGGGUGGGGGGGGGGAGAAGCAGGCUCCCCACUGAGCAAGGAGCCCAGUGCAGGGCUCGAUCCAGGGACUCUGGGAUCAUGACCUGAGCCAAAGGCAGACACUUAACUGACUGAGCCCCCAAGUGCCCCUUGGCAAUGAUUUUUUUGUAUUUGAUACCCAAAGCAAAGGCAACAAAAGCAAAAAUAAAUGAGUAGGACUACGUGAAGUUAAAAAGCUGCUACAAGGCAAAGAACAGAAUGAAACAGCAGCCCACUGACUGGGAGAAAACAUUUGCAAAUCAUAUCUUUGAUAAGGGGUUAGCAUCCAAAAUAUAUAAUGAACUCAUAAAACUUAAUAACAACAAAAAUUUGAUUAACAAGUGGGCAGAGGAUCUGAGUAGAUAUUUUUCCAAAGAAGACAUACAGAUAGCUAUCAGGUACAUGAAAAGAUGCUCAGCAUCACUCAUCAUUAGGGAAAUGCAAAUCAGAGCCACAAUGAGAUACUAUCUCACAUUUGUCAGAAUAGCAAUUAUCCAGAAGACAAGAAAGAGAUAUUGGCGAGGAUGUGAAGAGAGAACCCUUCUGCACUGUUGGUAGGAAUGUCAUUUGGUGCAGUCCCUUGAAAAACAUUAUGGAGGUUCCUCAAAAAAUUAAAAAUAGAACUACCCUAUGGUCUAACCGUCUCACUUCUGGGUAUUUAUCCAUCCAAAGGAAAUGAAAACAGGCUCUCAAAGAGGUAUCUGCACCCCCAUAUUCAUUGCAGCAUUAUUUAUGAUAGCCAAGACCUAGAAACAAUGGACGAACGGAUAAAGAAAAUGAGAUAUACAUAUAUAUCUCACGUAUAUCUCAUAUAUAAUAUAUAUGUGAUAUAUAUAUAAAAUGUGAUAUAUAUGUAAUAUAUAGACACACACGCUAGAAUAUUCAGAUAUAAAAAAAGAAUGAAAUCUUGCCAUUUGCGACAACAUGAAUAGAUCUUGAGGGCAUUAUGCUAAGUGAAAUAAGUCAGAGAAAGAUAAAUAUGAUAUGAUUUCACUUAUGUGUGGAAUCUAAAACAAAAGAACCCACCAAACCAAGCUCAUAGAUCCAGGUGACAGACUGGUGGCUUCCAGAGGCAGGAAAUGGGGUGGGGGCGAAAUGGAUGAAGACGCUCAAAAAAAUAGAUUUCCAGCUAUAAAAUAUGUAAGUCAAGGGGAUAUAAGGUACAGCAUGGCCGCUAUAGUUAAUAAUACUGUAUUGCCUAUUUGGAAGUUCCUGACAGUAAAUCUUAAAAGUUCUCAUCACAAGAAACAAAGAAUUCUGGAACUAGGUAUGGUGAUGGAUGGCCAUACCACUUGGACUUGCUGUGGUGCUCAUUUGCAUUUGUGUGCAAAUAUCAAGUCGUUAUGUUGUAUAGUAUACCUGAAACAAAUAUAAUGUCUGUCAAUUAUACCUCAAUGGAAAAAAAAAAGCAACACAGUGGGGAAGAAAUGUCUGUUAGGAUCUGUCUUCUGUGGGUAUCCAUUUGAAAAUUGAGUGAUUUUUCUGUAAAGAAAUUGUGUGUUUUUCUUGUGCAGAACUAUUGCCGUUAGCAGAAUAUGUGCUUCCAGUUGGUUGACUAGUGGGGAUGAUUUGUAAUUUUGCCAACUUUACUUUUAUUUAUUUUUUUUAAUUGAAGUGGCCUGCUAUUUGCAGGGACAGCAGGGUGGGGCAGGAAUGCAGUCGAUGACCUGGCACGGAGUCUUUGCGUGAAAAAUUGGCUUAUACACGACAUCCCCUCCCAUUAAAAAAAAAAAAGGAAAGAGUGUAUAUCCCUAGACUUUAAAUGAGUUAGUCAAAUUAUAGUUCUGUUCCUCCAUUGAAAGCCUUGGAGAAUCCCUGCAUUGGAAGUCUUGCCUACAAGAUGUAGAAGGCGGAUUGUGUGUGAGUACGUGUGCAUCACGUGUGUGUGCCACACGUGGGCUCCACUGCAUCACCUGUGUGCACUGCAUCACCGGGGUACCUGUGCCUGAGAGCACAAAGUGUGGUGAGCCUUAGGAGACUGUCCCUUUGUCCCGAGAAAUAGGAUGCCGGUGAAUGUUGAGUAAACAACCAGGCCUUGGUUAUGUUGUCAGAGAGCCACUUGGGUUUCUUGUUGAAAAUAAUACCCAUGGGGAAAAAUAUCUGCCCUCUCAGUGAUGGCCACAAUCCCUCGCUUGGGGACAGGAACCUCCAUGGGAACUGGUACCCCAACCAUCAGCGAGGAAGGGGGAGCACCCCAGGAGUGGCAUUGCUGCUCCUUCGAGGUGCCUGGUGCAUGGACAGGGAGCCCUGGAGAGCAGACGUGGUGAGCUUGCAGGUCGUCCAGUAGAGCUAACCGUGGGUCCUCCUCUUUUGAGACUAGCAAUUUCCCUCAGGGACCCUGUUCUGGUCACUUUGCAAUCUGAUCUUUGUAAGGUCCUGGGACAACUGUGUCUCCUGUGUUUAGGGUUAUGACUGUCUGAUUUGGUAAACCACAGCUCAGCUGCCUUUUUUCCUUCCAUGACUGCCCUGCAAGGGACCUGCUCUGUUGCUUAAGCAAUUGGAGGCCCCAGUCACCGAAUAAUGGGAGAGGGCAAGGCUGUGACACGCCAUUUCAGAUUUCUCUUGGAGUAGAUCUUGCGUUAGGCUCCUCAACAGGCUUUCCUAGCAAGGACAGGGCCAUUUUGUCUGACCAGUGCUGGUAGGCCCAGGGGCAGACGUGAGCCACCUCUCCUCACCAGACACCAGUAUCCUGGCAAAGGGGUCUUCUUUCCCUCUUCCGUCCUCUCAGUAAUACCAGGGAAGAGGAGGGAUGAAAAGCUAAAGCAUCUCUCCCUUCCUCUCCAAACACCUGAAGUUGGGUCUGUGUGAUCCAUCUCCUGCUGAAAAUCUCUGUCCGACAGGAGGCAGACGCCCACCGAACCCAGGGAGCAAGCCACAGCGUUUCACUUACCAUACUCACUUUUAAUCCCAGGGGAAUCAAUAGUUUUAUAUUCAGCUUGCUCAAGUCCUGGCUAAUGUUUAACUCUGUUUUGAAGCAACAGCCCAGAUACAUGCAACCUGACACAUCCAAGGGAGAAAACUAGCUGAUCAGCCUGUGCCCGGUUGCUGAGGAGUUAACAGAGGCACAGUGGCCGGUAGGGGUGGGGGACAUGAACACUUGUCCCGCAGUUGCUAUUCCCAACCCUAACCGGUCUGCUGACUCAGGUAAUAGACCCACGAAAGCUUUUCGGCUGUGAAGUAGAAUAUAAUCCCCGGUGCCUGCUUUCCAGAUGAGCUGCUAGGAAAAAAAAAAAAAUGAGACUCGGCCUGUGGGAAUGUUCCAAGAAAUCCACAUAUUAGAAGGAGAAUAACCAGUGAGGUGAAGAUUUGCUCCGAUAGGAUAUUUGAUAGAGAACUUGAUGUUUUUGAACCUGGUAGAAAUGGGGAUCAGACAAGUGACCAAAUAUAAAUUAUUACUUACAAAGCUCAAAUGCUUGGCUUGCCACCUGUGGUGAUUUUUACGAUGCCACAUGGUCCAGAAACACUAAUGGGACCUUCCCAACCAUAUAUGGAGCCUUUCGAUGAUUCUCUUGCCACCUUCCUUCAACUAGGCAGGAGUUCAUUUCUGCCUUCCCUCCUCACUUAGCUGUCUUGAUUGAACAGUCACACUUGGAGCUGAAGAGGAACAUGCAUCCCCACAGACGUUCCUUCCUACCUCUCUCAAUGACCAGACUGUACACUUGCCCGGCACGGUGCUCCUAUCUAGCAAUCAAUGCUUGCAUGCUGCCGUGGGGAGGAGGUUAAAUCUGUGUAAGCAAAUAGACUCCAGUUCACUGCCAGCUCUGGAAGUCUCACUCACCAGCCCACAUUUUCUUCUCUGCAUAGCAUUUGUGAUAGAUAAGUAAAUCCAUGAAAAAAAAAAAAAAAA